AGAUAAGAAAACAAAGUGGGAAUGCUGUUUGAACAGCGCCAUGUUAGGUAAACCAAACACAGCAUAUCAGCACAAACACACACCAAGCACGGUGGUAUAACGGUAAGGAUUUGGGCUUGUUUUGCAUCCACGGGAUCUGGACACCUUGCAGUCAUGGAGAUCAUGAACUUAUCUACAUACUAAAGUAUUCUACGGGUCAAUUGUGAGGCCAAAACUGGGUCAGGUAAAGGAAACAAUUGCAAUCACAACAGCAAAAUUACAACAGACUGGCUAAAAUACCUCAAGGUAUUUAAAUGGCCCAGUGAAAGUAAAGACUUUAAUCUGACUGAAAUGCUGUGGCAGGACCGUAAGAGAACUGUGCAUGAAUGAAUGUCCGCAAACAUCAAUGAAAUAAGCCAGGUUGUAAGAAAGAUGUAUUUUUUAAAAUGUAGGUAUUUUACAAGCUGCCACUUAAAGCAGUGAUGUCCUUAACUAUUUUAUUGGCAAGCUAUAUGAUGUUUAUAUUUAUUUAUUGUUUUGGGGUUUUUUUUACAUCCUGGAAAGGUAUAUAAAAUAAAGUAAUAAUACUAUAUAUUAAAAUUCAGUAGAAAUACUAUAAAUGUUUUACAGUAACUUGAUAUAAAAUUUGUAGACGAUUUUUUACAGUGCACAGCCGCCUCCAAAGGAAACAUAAAAAACAUGUUAAACAUUUCUCUAUAGGUGUGUUCAGGACAAGUAAGUUGUGCAGGUAGUUUCUUUUUUAACUCUUAAGUUAUUCUUCAUGUGCUUGUUUAAAAACCUGCAUUACUGAAUGCCUCAGUGGUCAGUGGUUUUCUGCUGUGAUGACAGUGAUGACAGGCGCGCAUCUGUUCUAUGUUUGUGUUUUGUUCGUAAUUGUUACUCAGUUCAGUUUUAUUUGUUCAGGGACUUUUUUUUUUUUUUUUAAUUUUACACAGUUACUCCACUCUCAUAAACACUAGGGGGCAGCAUACUGCGACUUUUGCAGCCGGAGAAAACUACUGCACAGCAAAGUUCAGUGAAAACUGAAUAUGAAGCCAGCGACAGACAAAGAAAAACACCGACAAAUGUGGGGAUGAAUUAAAAAUAAAAGCUGGAUUUUGCGUAAUACAAAUCACAUACAGCGGAUGAUGAGGGUAUAUCUGUAAAUAAAUAAAUAAAUGUGCAUGUUUCACGGACCUGAAUAAAGCUAAAGGAAAACAGGUUUUGAUUUCACCAGGACUGUAAAUGCCAUUAUCUAUGAAAUCGCAUAAAUAAAAACUCGGUAAACACAAAACAAAAAAUAUAAGGUUUUUGAUUUAAGUCGAUUAAGCAAUGUUAAGUUGACUGAUUCUCCUAUAGCAGAAACUUGUUUUUAGCUGGCAAUAAAGGAAAAAGAAAUAACAUUUUAUUGGAAUAUCUUACUUUUUAGAGAUAUUUAAUUGUUUU
ensembl:lncRNA